rnacentral:rRNA from 1 species
CCUACGGGCGGCAGCAGUGAGGAAUAUUGGUCAAUGGACGAGAGUCUGAACCAGCCAAGUAGCGUGAAGGAUGACUGCCCUAUGGGUUGUAAACUUCUUUUAUAUGGGAAUAAAACGUUCCACGUGUGGGAUUUUGUAUGUACCAUAUGAAUAAGGAUCGGCUAACUCCGUGCCAGCAGCCGCGGUAAUACGGAGGAUCCGAGCGUUAUCCGGAUUUAUUGGGUUUAAAGGGAGCGUAGGUGGAUUGUUAAGUCAGUUGUGAAAGUUUGCGGCUCAACCGUAAAAUUGCAGUUGAAACUGGCAGUCUUGAGUACAGUAGAGGUGGGCGGAAUUCGUGGUGUAGCGGUGAAAUGCUUAGAGAUCACGAAGAACUCCGAUUGCGAAGGCAGUUCACUGGACUGCAACUGACACUGAGGCUCGAAAGUGUGGGUAUCAAACAGGAUUAGAUACCCCGGUAGUC